GUGGGGAAUAUUGGACAAUGGGGGAAACCCUGAUCCAGCAAUGCCGCGUGUGCGAUGAAGGCCUGCGGGUUGUAAAGCACUUUCGGUGGGGAAGAAAUGCUCAAAGAUAAUACAUUUGAGAGCUGACGUUACCCACAGAAGAAGCACCGGCAAACUCUGUGCCAGCAGCCGCGGUAAUACAGAGGGUGCAAGCGUUAGUCGGAGUUACUGGGCGUAAAGGGCGCGUAGGCUGAUAUUUAAGUCGAUUGUGAAAUCCCCGGGCUUAACCUGGGAAUUGCGAUCGAUACUGGAUAUCUUGAGUAUGGUAGAGGAAAGUGGAAUUCUCGGUGUAGUGGUCAAAUACGUAGAUAUCGGGAAGAACACCGGUGGCGAAGGCGGCUUUCUGGACCAAUACUGACGCUGAGGCGCGAAAGCGUGGGGAUCAAACAGGAUUAGAAACCCCUGUAGUCC
rnacentral:rRNA from 1 species